AUUGAACGCUGGCGGCAGGCCUAACACAUGCAAGUCGAACGAGUGGCGGACGGGUGAGGAAUGUCUGGGAAACUGUCCGUUGGGGGGGGAUAACUCCUGGAAACGGUAUCUAAAACCGCAUACCAUCGGAUGUGCGCAGAUGGGGGUAGCUAGUAGGUUGGGUAAUGGCUCACCUAGGCGAGGAUCCCUAGCUGUUCUGAGAGGAUGACCAGCCACACUGGAACUGAGACACGGUCCAGACUCCUACGGGAGGCAGCAGUGGGGAAUAUUGCACAAUGGGCGCAAGCCUGAUGCAGCCAUGCCGCGUGUAUGAAGAAGGUCUUCGGGUUGUAAAGUACUUUCAGCGAGGAGGCGUUACUCGCAGAAGAAGCACCGGCUAACUCCGUGCCAGCAGCCGCGGUAAUUC
rnacentral:rRNA from 1 species